rnacentral:lncRNA from 1 species
CUGCAACCACCUUUUUAUCCCCCCUUCCCAAUUCUCUCUCAAACUUUCUCAAACCCUAGUCGCCGCCCUCAACCACCACCUGAAAAUCUCACAAAUCCAUGGCUUCCAAAGCCAUUGAAGGCUUGUAUCCACCUCCAUUGGCUUCUAUGUGUUCAAGUACUGUAGUUUCAAGGCCAGACCUUGAAGAAGCUUGGCCCAGACCAUGGUCGAUUUCUGCUUUAUGGUUGUCUCCGAUCAUCUUUGACUUUGCUUCAGCCAGCCAUGGCUAUUCAAGCAUGACUCUUGACUUCCCCAACUUAGAUCAAUGAGUUUCCGAGCCUUUCUCACCAUCUGGGGUUCUUCUAAAACCCUAACCUUCGAGUUUCUUCUGAUUCUUUUAGAUCUGUUUUAGAUCUGUGUUUACCAUAAACUUCUAAUCAUUUUUCUCAAGGUUUCUUUCAAAACUUUACCUUCAAGAACUCUUAUCUUUUUCGAUUGGGGUAUAUGUUAUGUAAUUUCAAAGCUUUUCUGAUUUUUUAACGUGUUCUACUGUGUUUUCUUAUGUCGCUCUUCUACUUGAGUUUGCAUGUUAAGGGCCUUAACCUUUUUGGGAUAUCUAAAUCUAUUUUGUUAUUAUUUGUCUGAUUUACUCGUUUUUCAUCUAUAGAACUCGAUUCAUGGUGAAAACUCUAAAAUUUUGGGUUCAGUCAAGUUCUGAGGCUAUUUUCUCUGUGAUUCACUUAGUGUUUAUGCUCUAAUUCGAUUGAUUUUAAAACUAUAACUUCUCUAGGCCUAAUCGAGCUUCUGAAGUUGCUUCAUCUGUUGCUCGACAAGAAUCGAAAUUUUUGUUUCAACCUUUGUUUCUUUAUGUGAUUAAGACUUUCUAGUAUCAUUGAAACUAGACUACAUUUUUCAGAAAAGUCUUUUUAUUUGACCUUAUGCAUGCUUCUGAUACUCUCUCCUUGCUCUAUUACUGAGUUGGUGAAAUUGACCUAUGUGACUGACAUGUUUCAACAGUUCUCUAUCCACCGACUUUGUGAUUGUUAUUUCAUGAUGCUUCUCUUGGUCAUAAGUUCAGCCUCGCAUGCCUAAUGUUUAUGCACUCUUUUAUAUGCUAAAUUUCUCUCUAAAAUGACCUGCAAUUGUGGACUGAUUUCAAACUACUCCUUGUGUAACUCUGAUUGCACUCGUGUGAUAAGUAAUUGAUUAUUUCCUUGUUUUACUGUCUUCCCUGUUUCUUUGAUUGAUUUGAAAAACUUCUCUUUUAACUUUCGAUUCUCCCUUUUCAACUUGGUUUAUUCAUGGGAACCCCUGUUACUCUCCUUAAAUCAGUGAUUUUGAAAUCAUUGACUCUUUGAUUUGCUAUGUAUUGACUUUCGAUUGUCCCCACAUUCUAUAACUUUACUUUAUUUUCUUUUCUUACUUGGUUAAUCGAGUAUUUCAAAGAUUCUUCCCUUAAUUAAAACCUCUAUGCACUUACCCCUAAUUGGCUAUUCUGCACAUGAUGCUCUACUUGAUUUCUUUCUUUAAAUAAAUUAUGCCCAUAACCAUUUGAAUUAAACUCCUUAACUAAAGAGGGUCCUUAAUACUGAUUAGAUUUUAAUUAGUACAUAGUUCGAUAAUUAUUUUUGAACUAUGAUUCUUGCCUUAUUUUUUGCUUAUUUUCAAACUAUAAAUACGCUGCUCUUUCAUUAACACAAAGACACAUGAACACUCUUAUUUUUGAACUCAGUUACACUUAAAGUAUUCUCUCUCACUUUACUAGUUGUACUGUGGCCUGUUUUCAAAGUCCUACUACCUUCCUUUAAUAUAUUUUGGUUUCUCUAAACUGGUAUGUUCUGAUUAAUAUUUCAGCAUCAACAACAAUAUGUUUACUUAGUACGUCUGCCUACUGCUUAUAUUUAAUUCAAUACCCUAUUCUAGCAUGUUGUAAUUUCUUUUUUCCUAUUCUGAACCUAUGUAUGAUGUAUCCUAAAACCCUACCCCAAUGUGUUUCAUACCGAUGGUUUGUUUGAGGUAUGACAGUAGUUAGUAUUGCUAUCUAUGUCUCAAACUCGAUCCCCUUUAAGUCAUAACCUCUAUGUUACCAUUAUAUGUUAUGUAUUCUGGUUGAUUUUUUUAGCAUAACAGCACUCCAUAUCGUUGUGCAUGCCCAAAAUUAACUAAUACCUAAGUACAUAGGCUCUUUGAAAUUUCCAAUCCCUGAACCCCUUUUGUGUGAAUUUAUUAAUUCUAUAACUGUUUCCCAUCACCUCUUUCCCUCUUCAUUACUUCCUUAUUUCUUAGAACUCUAUUUCUUCACUUGCACUCUCUCCUAGACUUAAAGUUAUGUCCCCCUCUUGUGAGCCUUGCUUGGGACCCAUUGAGUUCCCUCUGAACUUGGAGACCUGAGGGCUGACACUUCCACACUGUACUUGUCCCUAUUCUGGUGAUACCAUUUGGGUGUAAGCACUAGACGAAGUCCUACCGAGGCUCUUACGGAACUUCGACACACUCAAAUUGGAGAAAGUAUUUAGAUCAGUGGUCUUUGAGUUGGUCUAUCUCAUAACUCAAAGUGGAAGUCAAGAAUCAUGCCUCCUCUGGUUGCACUUUUCUUUGUACUUUGGAUAUAAUUUAUCAUUCAUGUUUGUAAUAAGUCGUAAUAAUCACUUGCGGCUGUUUAGUGAAAAGGGUUGGGUAUUUAUGCAUGUCAAUGGUAGAAAUAAUGCUUAUAUGAUUGUUCUAAUUCUGCGUGUUCAACUAUAUAUAGAAACCAUGCCUAUAGGACUGUUCUAAUUCUGCAUAUUCAACUACAUAUUGAAACCAUGCCUAUAGGACUGUUCAGAUUCUUUAUAUCCAAACUUCACCUAAAAAAAUCAUGCCUAUAGGACUGUUCUAAUUCUGCAAAUCCAAACUUCAACUAGAAAUCAUGCCUAUAUGACUG